rnacentral:tRNA from 1 species
GGGGCCUUAGCUCAGUUGUAGAGCGCUGCCUUUGCAAGGCAGAUGUCAGGAGUUCGAAUCUCCUAGGCUCCA